rnacentral:lncRNA from 1 species
ACGUCAAGAGCGUGCUGAUAACGUGUUGUAGGCAUAAUUUACUGAACAAUUAUGGAGGCCAUAGAGAGAGAGAAAGGUGCGGCAGUGGACAAGAAGAAGAAGAGAGAGAUGUGUAAUUGUGGGUGUAUUCUAUUUCAUCUCAUUGUGCCUUUAUUUAUAGUAGUAGGAUAGGUAAAAACCUUUCCAUUUAGGAUUACAACAUUUAAUGUGUAAUCUACUCUUAAUAGGAAUAUAAGAGAUAUUCCAAGAUAUACUAGGAUUUACACAAUCACAUUCCUAAUCUAAUAGGACUGCAACAAUUUAUAUAUUAUAAAAUAAUGUAGUAGUCAAAUUAUAACACAUGUACUUUUGUAAAUCCUGAAUAAAGAUUAUGUAGGAAUUCUAAAACCAUGUUUAAUGGUCCGAAUAAAGCUUAAAAAUAUUAAAUUUUUUUUUAAGGAAAACUAAUGAAAAUGGCUUGAAAACUUUAAGUUUUAACGAUAAGGAUAAAAUAAAGGGUAAAAUGAAUAGUACUAGGAUUGACUUUUUAGUGUAAAAAUGUGGUUUUUCGUUAAAGUGAACAGUAUCGGGAGUUUUUCGUUAAAAUUCCUAAAAGUUUAGCCAUAACUCAUAAACAACUUUUCUCUUCUAAUAAUGAUGGCUUAAAAUUUUAGUCCAAGAUUAUUAAAGAAUGAUUUUAGUCUAAUUUUUUUCGGUAAUUUUUUAUUUUUAUUUUUAUUUUUUUAUAAAUAAAUGUAUGUAGAUUAUGCUAAUUUAAUUUUAUGAAUAUUUUAAUCUAAAAAUAUAUAAAUUUUCAUAAAUAAUGAAGAAUCACUAAACCUACCCCAUGAAAGGAAAAUGAAAGAAUUAUAUGAUGAAAGUGAAUUUUGUGUGGAUUUUUUU